AUUGAACGCUGGCGGCAGGCCUAACACAUGCAAGUCGAGCGGUAGCACAGAGAGCUUGCUCUCGGGUGACGAGCGGCGGACGGGUGAGUAAUGUCUGGGAAACUGCCUGAUGGAGGGGGAUAACUACUGGAAACGGUAGCUAAUACCGCAUAACGUCGCAAGACCAAAGUGGGGGACCUUCGGGCCUCAUGCCAUCAGAUGUGCCCAGAUGGGAUUAGCUAGUAGGUGGGGUAACGGCUCACCUAGGCGACGAUCCCUAGCUGGUCUGAGAGGAUGACCAGCCACACUGGAACUGAGACACGGUCCAGACUCCUACGGGAGGCAGCAGUGGGGAAUAUUGCACAAUGGGCGCAAGCCUGAUGCAGCCAUGCCGCGUGUGUGAAGAAGGCCUUCGGGUUGUAAAGCACUUUCAGCGGGGAGGAAGGCGAUAAGGUUAAUAACCUCAUCGAUUGACGUUACCCGCAGAAGAAGCACCGGCUAACUCCGUGCCAGCAGCCGCGGUAAUACGGAGGGUGCAAGCGUUAAUCGGAAUUACUGGGCGUAAAGCGCACGCAGGCGGUCUGUCAAGUCGGAUGUGAAAUCCCCGGGCUCAACCUGGGAACUGCAUUCGAAACUGGCAGGCUAGAGUCUUGUAGAGGGGGGUAGAAUUCCAGGUGUAGCGGUGAAAUGCGUAGAGAUCUGGAGGAAUACCGGUGGCGAAGGCGGCCCCCUGGACAAAGACUGACGCUCAGGUGCGAAAGCGUGGGGAGCAAACAGGAUUAGAUACCCUGGUAGUCCACGCCGUAAACGAUGUCGAUUUGGAGGUUGUGCCCUUGAGGCGUGGCUUCCGGAGCUAACGCGUUAAAUCGACCGCCUGGGGAGUACGGCCGCAAGGUUAAAACUCAAAUGAAUUGACGGGGGCCCGCACAAGCGGUGGAGCAUGUGGUUUAAUUCGAUGCAACGCGAAGAACCUUACCUGGUCUUGACAUCCACAGAACUUUCCAGAGAUGGAUUGGUGCCUUCGGGAACUGUGAGACAGGUGCUGCAUGGCUGUCGUCAGCUCGUGUUGUGAAAUGUUGGGUUAAGUCCCGCAACGAGCGCAACCCUUAUCCUUUGUUGCCAGCGGUUAGGCCGGGAACUCAAAGGAGACUGCCAGUGAUAAACUGGAGGAAGGUGGGGAUGACGUCAAGUCAUCAUGGCCCUUACGACCAGGGCUACACACGUGCUACAAUGGCAUAUACAAAGAGAAGCGACCUCGCGAGAGCAAGCGGACCUCAUAAAGUAUGUCGUAGUCCGGAUUGGAGUCUGCAACUCGACUCCAUGAAGUCGGAAUCGCUAGUAAUCGUAGAUCAGAAUGCUACGGUGAAUACGUUCCCGGGCCUUGUACACACCGCCCGUCACACCAUGGGAGUGGGUUGCAAAAGAAGUAGGUAGCUUAACCUUCGGGAGGGCGCUUACCACUUUGUGAUUCAUGACUGGGGUGA
rnacentral:rRNA from 1 species